rnacentral:rRNA from 1 species
UAGGGAAUCUUCCGCAAUGGGCGAAAGCUUGCCGGAGCAACGCCGCGUGAGUGAUGAAGGUCUUCGGAUCGUAAAACUCUGUUAUUAGGGAAGAACAAAUGUGUAAGUAACUAUGCACGUCUUGACGGUACCUAAUCAGAAAGCUACGGCUAACUACGUGCCAGCAGCCGCGGUAAUACGUAGGUGGCAAGCGUUAUCCGGAAUUAUUGGGCGUAAAGCGCGCGUAGGCGGUUUUUUAAGUCUGAUGUGAAAGCCCACGGCUCAACCGUGGAGGGUCAUUGGAAACUGGAAAACUUGAGUGCAGAAGAGGAAAGUGGAAUUCCAUGUGUAGCGGUGAAAUGCGCAGAGAUAUGGAGGAACACCAGUGGCGAAGGCGACUUUCUGGUCUGUAACUGACGCUGAUGUGCGAAAGCGUGGGGAUCAAACAGG